GGGCGUGGCGGCUACAUGCAGUCGACGAUGACCACUUCGGUGGGGAUUAGUGGCGAACGGGUGAGUAACACGUGGGCAAUCUGCCCUGCACUCUGGGACAAGCCCUGGAAACGGGGUCUAAUACCGGAUACGACCAUCUUGGGCAUCCUUGAUGGUGGAAAGCUCCGGCGGUGCAGGAUGAGCCCGCGGCCUAUCAGCUUGUUGGUGAGGUAAUGGCUCACCAAGGCGACAACAGGUAGCCGGCCUGAGAGGGCGACCGGCCACACUGGGACUGAGACACGGCCCAGACUCCUACGGGAGGCAGCAGUGGGGAAUAUUGCACAAUGGGCGAAAGCCUGAUGCAGCGACGCCGCGUGARGARAUGCACCGGCCGUUUCGGGWUAGUAAAYCUUCUUUCAGCAAGGAGAAACGAAGCGAGAAGUGACGGUACSUGCAGAAGAAAGCGCCGGGCUAGACUACGUGCCAGCAGMCGCGGUAAUACGUAGGGCGCAAGCGUUGUCCGGGAAUUAUUGGGCGUAAAGAGCUCGUAGGGCGGACUUGUCACGUCGGUUGUGAAAARCCCGGGGCUUAACCCCGGGUSUGCAGUCGAUACGGGCAGGCUAGAGUUCGGUAGGGGAGAUCGGAAUUCMUGGUGUAGCGGUGAAAUGCGCAGAUAUCAGGAGGAACRCCGGUGGCGAAGGCGGAUCUSUGGGCCGAUACUGACGCUGAGGAGCGAAAGCGUGGGGAGCGAACAGGAUUAGAUMCCCYGGUAGUCCACGCCGUAWACGGUGGGCACUAGGUGUGGGCAACAUUCCACGUUGUCCGUKCCGCAKCUAACGCAUUAAGUGCCCCGCCUGGSGAGUACGGCCGCAAGGCUAAAACUCARAGGAAUUGACGGGGGYCCGCACAAGCGGCGGAGCAUGUGGCUUAAUUCGACGCAWCGCGAAGAACYUUACCAAGGCCUUGACAUACACUCGGMAACGUUCCAGAUGAUGGGGCGACCCGCCUUAGUGAGUCKGUGUACAGSUGGUGCAUAGGACUCGUCGAUCAGCUCGUGCUCGUUGAGAUGUUCGGGCUUAAUGUCCCCGCAACGAGUCGUCAACCCUUAUGUCCCGUGAUYGCCAGCAGGCCCUUGUGGUGCUGGGGACUCACGGGAGACCGCCGGGGUCAACUCGGAGGAAGGUGGGGAGGACGUCAAGUCAUCAUGCCCCUUAUGUCUUGGGCUGCACACGUGCUACAAUGGCCGGUACAAUGAGCUGCGAUCCCGCGAGGUGGAGCGAAUCUCAAAAAGCCGGUCUCAGUUCGGAUUGGGGUCUGCAACUCGACCCCAUGAAGUCGGAGUCGCUAGUAAUCGCAGAUCAGCAUUGAUGCGGUGAAUACGUUCCCGGGCCUUGUACACCCCGCCCGUCACGUCACGAAAGUCGGUAACACCCGCAGCCGGUGGCCCAACCCGUGUGGAGAGACGCCAACGUAUCCC
rnacentral:rRNA from 1 species